AUGCUGUCAACGGCCUGCCGUUGGUAGGGACG
rnacentral:scRNA from 1 species